GACGAACCGAGCGAACGUUGUUCGGAAUCACUGGGCUUAAAGGGCGCGUAGGCGGGCUGUCGAGUCUGGGGUGAAAUCCCGCGGCUCAACCGUGGAACUGCCUCAGAUACUGACGGUCUCGAGGGAGGUAGGGGCGAGCGGAACUGAUGGUGGAGCGGUGAAAUGCGUUGAUAUCAUCAGGAACUCCGGUGGCGAAGGCGGCUCGCUGGACCUUUUCUGACGCUGAGGCGCGAAAGCUAGGGGAGCAAACGGG
rnacentral:rRNA from 1 species